GGCCCGUUGGUCAAGUGGCCUAAGACUCCGCCCUCUCACGGCGGCAACACGAGUUCGAAUCUCGUACGGGUCACCA
rnacentral:tRNA from 1 species